rnacentral:rRNA from 1 species
CAGUCGCCACGGUAAAACGGAGGGUGCAAGCGUUAAUCGGAAUUACUGGGCGUAAAGCGCACGCAGGCGGUCUGACAAGUCAGAUGUGAAAUCCCCGGGCUUAACCUGGGAACUGCAUUUGAAACUGUCAGGCUGGAGUCUUGUAGAGGGGGGUGGAAUUCCAGGUGUAGCGGUGAAAUGCGUAGAGAUCUGGAGGAAUACCGGUGGCGAAGGCGGCCCCCUGGACAAAGACUGACGCUCAGGUGCGAAAGCGUGGGGAGCAAACAGGAUUAGAUACCCCGGUAGUCCCUGUCUCUUAUAC